rnacentral:lncRNA from 1 species
UUUUGCACAUAGAAAUCCGAUUGAACUCAUUUUUGUCCAAAGCGCAAAAUAAGGCAUUCAUAGCCUUUGCGUUUAAAGAAAAAUACUUCUUCUCCAAAUCCGACCAUUCGUUCAUCGGUUUAGAGGGAAGUUGAAAACCAUUUUCAACAAUAUUCCAUAAAUCCAAAUUCAUAGAAAUCAAGAAAACUCUCAUUCGAGUUUUUCAAUAAGUGUAGUCCAAUCCGUUAAACAACGGUGGACGAACAAUCGAUAAGCCCUCUUGAAAGCCAUGAAGAGCCAUU